AUUGAACGCUGGCGGCAUGCUUUACACAUGCAAGUCGAACGGCAGCACGGGGGCAGCCCUGGUGGCGAGUGGCGAACGGGUGAGUAAUACAUCGGAACGUGCCCGGUCGUGGGGGAUAACGUAGCGAAAGUUACGCUAAUACCGCAUACGAUCUGUGGAUGAAAGCGGGGGUUGUUGGGCCCCGGCGGGUUGGGACGGCCCGGGGUCGGAUUGGCUAGUUGGUGGGGUAAGGGCCUCCCAAGCCGACGACCGGUAGCUGUUCUGAGAGGACGACAGGCCACACUGGGACUGAGACACGGCCCAGACUCCUACGGGAGGCAGCAGUGGGGAAUUUUGGACAAUGGGCGCAAGCCUGAUCCAGCCAUUCCGCGUGCAGGACGAAGGCCUUCGGGUUGUAAACUGCUUUUGUACGGAACGAAAAGGCUCUGGCUAAUACCUGGGGCUCAUGACGGUACCGUAAGAAUAAGCACCGGCUAACUACGUG
rnacentral:rRNA from 1 species